rnacentral:misc_RNA from 1 species
GGUUUAUCUCCACAAAUGCUUUGAAUUAGAUUUUCCAAUGUGCGAUUGACCACUUUAGUUUGGCCAUCACUUUGAGGACGUGAUGUACUAUUGAAAUUAAAAAAUGAAUGAAAAAGUUUCCACAAGGUCCUCAAAAAGUGUCUCAAGAACUUACUAUUUCAAUCUUAAGUGAUUGAUUUAGGCAUCCCAUGCAAAUAAACCACUUGAAGAACGAUUUUGCAACUGAAUUGCAUUGGAAGUCUUUCUACAAGGAAUAAA